AAACAUCGAAUCGAAGCUUUCGACCCCGUCGGAGCUAGGUUCGGACCAUGGGAGUCUGCGGGCGAGAACCUCCCGUCGGGAGGGGGACGUCGGCUCUCCUCGAAAGCAUUAGCGGCGUGUGCGAGCCUCGCGCGGCACGGCCUCUUCGACGUCAUAAUGACCGUCGUGGGCUGGAAGCGCGUGGAUCGCGUCGCUCUCCAACUCUCCAACUCUGCGAGCCCGUCUCGGACGGCCGCGCGUCGUAGAC
rnacentral:misc_RNA from 1 species